rnacentral:lncRNA from 1 species
CCACAUUGUAUUCAACUCUUAUACACGCAAGCAAUUGUGUUAAUGGCAACACAUAUUGAUAUCAACCAAAAGCUUAAUGUAUAUCCAAGAUCUCAAAACCAAGACCAGAAGAAGCUAAUCACUCUCUCCCACUUGGACCGUCAAUGUCCUUUACUCAUGUACUUGGUUUUCUUCUACAAGAAGACCACGAUUCGUGACUUUGACUCGGUCUUUUCCGACCUGAAACUCGGGCUGGAAGAGACUCUGUCUGUCACUCGAUAUUGGAGAGACACGCGGGUUUCCUGGGAUGGUUGGAAGCAUUGACUGUAUGCAUUGGGAGUGGAAAAAUUGCCCAACCUCUUGGAAAGGACAGUAUGCACGUGGAUCAAGCAAACCGACAAUUGUCUUAGAGGCUGUAGCUUCACAAGAUCUUUGGAUAUGGCACGCUUUUUUUGGUCCUCCAGGUACCUUAAACGAUAUUAAUGUCCUUGAUCGGUCUCCUGUUUUUGAUGACAUUAUAGAAGGUCGAGCUCCAAGGUUAGAGUACGUGGUCAACGGACACAAAUAUAAGUUCGCUUACUACCUCACGGACGGUAUAUAUCCAAAAUGGUCAACAUUUAUCCAAUCUAUCACACUUCCUCAAGGUCCGAAAGCAAACUUAUUUGCUAAAGUUCAAGAAUCAGCCCGUAAAGAUGUGGAGCGGGCUUUUGGAGUAUUGCAAGCCCGAUUUGCGAUUGUCAAAAACCCGGCUCUUACAUGGGACAAAGAAAAGAUAGCGAAAAUUAUGCGAGCAUGUAUCAUACUACACAAUAUGAUAGUUGAAAAUGAACGCAAUGGAUAUGCUCAAAUCGACAUCUCGGAAUUUGAAGAAGGAAACGUCACCAGAAGUUCACAGGUGGAAACUGAAACCGACAGGCCUACAAAUCUCAAUAACAUAUUUGUCAAUCAAAAUCAGAAAGAUCUUCGGGAUAGGCGUAUACAUGAACAAUUGAAAAAAGAUUUAAUUGAGCAUAUUUGGAACAAAUUUGGUGAUGAAGAUUAAUAAUUAUUGUAUCUUUGAGUUUAAUUAUUAUAUUUUUUUCCAUCAUGCAAUAAAUAAAAAAUAAAUUGCAAUUUAAAAAAAUUAAUUAUUUUUUUAUUCCUAAGGACUCCUAAUUGGAAAUCACCAUUGCACACAUUAUUUUGACUAAAAUCCUUAACUAUUCAAAAAAAAAAAAAAUUAUUAAACUAAUCCUAAGGACUCCUCCCACAAAUCCACCAUUGUGGAUGCUCUUAUAUCUGCAAGAAUAGUGUAGAUGUUUGACCUUUUAUGUAAUAAGUCCAUAAUAAAAAGGUCUUAGGGAAGGAUAGCAUUCCCGUGAUGGAGGCCGUAGGGUUUGUAUGAUUGUGUACAGUCUUUUCAUUUCACCUUGCCUUAUGUUGUGCGAGACAGAUCAUCCCUAGCUUACUCUUCUAAUAUAUUUAUAGCAAUUUACCAAUCAAUUAUGUGUGUAUUACAACUAUAUAUACCAGACUUAUAUACCAACUUUCAAAACUAACACAAAAUUCAUGUUGAAGUAUGUUUCUUUAAUAACUUCUUGUGUUAGUGGAUUUGGAGUGAAUAAAAGAAGAAAUUUUAACUUAAUAAAUAAAAAAAGAAUUUUAAAAUAAAAUUAAAAUAUCUUCUUAAAUGAUGUGAACCUAAUUUAAAGCCUAUGCCAAAAGCACAUAUAGGCUUUUGAUUUCUGUAUAUCCCAAUAGCAUAAAAUAUACAAAGCCGAAUUAUCUUUACAAUCAUUUGCAUUUGGAUUUAAAUAACCAAAUGAUUAUAAACACAACCAAUAGUAAGAUAAAGAUAGUUAGUGUUGAAACUAAACAUCCGCAUGCAUAGAGCACUUAGAUGAAAGUUAGAUUAUUAAUUAUUGAAAACCCUCGAAACUAUCUGAAGAGACACAUAGAAUGGCUCCUUGGCAUUUGGUUCAGCCCUUUUAGUUUAUCUCAUAUAUAUAAGCAUAUGUUACACAUCUUAUUACAUGCACUCACCCACAUUGUAUUCAACUCUUAUACACGCAAGCAAUUGUGUUAAUGGCAACACAUAUUGAUAUCAACCAAAAGCUUAAUGUAUAUCCAAGAUCUCAAAACCAAGACCAGAAGAAGCUAAUCACUCUCUCCCACUUGGACCGUCAAUGUCCUUUACUCAUGUACUUGGUUUUCUUCUACAAGAAGACCACGAUUCGUGACUUUGACUCGGUCUUUUCCGACCUGAAACUCGGGCUGGAAGAGACUCUGUCUGUCUGGUAUCCCGCCGCCGGCAGGUUGGGUUUGGAUGGAGGUG